rnacentral:sRNA from 1 species
AGUUACCGAUCCGACUGCCUGCCCACUGCCAGGCCAUGGCACCAACCCCAUCGUUUCUGGCUCCCCAGACGU